rnacentral:rRNA from 1 species
CAUGUCUUUUUGAUUAUAAUUUAAAGUCAGGUCUGCUCCAUGAGAAUUUUAAAUAGCUGCAGGUAACUGUACAAAGGUAGCAUAAUCAAUAGUUUUUUAAUUGAAAGCUGGAAUGAAAGAUUUGAUAAGGUAAAUAUUGUCUCAAUUUUAAUAAUAUUAGAAUUUUUUUUCUUGUAAAAAUACUAAGAUUGAAUUUAAAAGACGAGAAGACCCUAUAGAUUUUUAUAAAUUUUAAUUUAAAGUUAUUAUAAAAUUUUAAUAAAAUUUGAUUAAAAUUUAUUUGGUUGGGGAAAUUUUUAAAUUUAAAAAAUUUUAAUUAUUGAUAAACAAAAAUUAUUGAAUUUUUGAUCUUAAUUUGUAAAGAUUAUAAGAAUAAAAUACCUUAGGGAUAACAGCGUAAUUUUUUUGGAGAGAUCUAAUUGAUAAAAAAGUUUGCGACCUCGAUGUUGAAUUAAGAUAAAAUUUUAAUGCAGGAGUUAAAAAAUUUUGGUCUGUUCGACCAUUAAAAUCUUACGU